rnacentral:rRNA from 1 species
GUGAGGAAUAUUGGUCAAUGGGCGAGAGCCUGAACCAGCCAAGUCGCGUGAAGGAUGAAGGUUUUAUGAAUUGUAAACUUCUUUUGCAGGGGAAUAAAGUACGGUACGUGUACCGUUUUGUAUGUACUCUGCGAAUAAGGAUCGGCUAACUCCGUGCCAGCAGCCGCGGUAAUACGGAGGAUCCAAGCGUUAUCCGGAUUUAUUGGGUUUAAAGGGUGCGCAGGCGGGUUGAUAAGUCAGCGGUGAAAGUUUGCAGCUUAACUGUAAAAUUGCCGUUGAAACUGUCGAUAUUGAGUGCAAAUGAGGUAAGCGGAAUGUGUUGUGUAGCGGUGAAAUGCUUAGAUAUAACACAGAACACCGAUUGCGAAGGCAGCUUACUGGGAUGCAACUGACGCUCAUGCACGAAAGCGUGGGGAUCAAACAGGAUUAGAUACCCGAGUAGUCC